rnacentral:snRNA from 1 species
UCAACCAAGCGCGGGUAAA